rnacentral:lncRNA from 1 species
ACAAGGUGUUUGAUAAAAUGCUUAAGAGAGCUUUGUUGAUGAAUUCCCAAGGAUUCUGUGUUGUUUGUACAAAUGGACCCCUUUGGGGUAUUUAUAGAAGUAUACAAUCUAUUUACAAGCCCUAAACCGCCUUACAAGGUCGGCAAAAGCAAUCUGGAACAUUCCCGAGCGCUCAUGACACUGUCCAGAAGCUUCUGGAAGCGUCUGGGGCCGUCUGGCGCGCGCGCGGGCCUUCUGGAGGCGUGUCGUGCGCGCGCGUCUGCGUGCGUCUGGAGUGCGCGCGCCUUCGCACGUGUUCGCGAGCCUUCUCGACCGCUCGCGAUUCUUCUGGAACCUUCGAGAGGUUCCCGGAUGCUUCUCCGCGCGCUCCGUGUGCUCCGUGUCCGCUUCCGUGCGCGUCCGCUUGUCUGCCUGCCGCCCUUGCGCGCGCGCGCGCCCAUGUCAUUACAGGGCCGCGCGCGCCAAUCUCCUGCACAUUGGCGUGUCAUAGGCUUGGCGUGAACUUGCUCCUCUUCCUUGGGUCUUUGGACUGCUUGGGACUUGGUUGGCUCCUCUUGGGCAAUGCUAAGGAGCCUUAAUUUGCGAAAAAUCUGUUGGGUCAUUUUUGGGGCGUGACACCCUCCCCCACUCGAUUUCGCAACGUCCCCGUUGUGCUUUCUUGAAAUCUUCUGAUUUCAUCUUGAAAUUGCCAUAGGGUGUCUUCCUUUUCCCAACUUGCUUCGCUUUCGGGUAGUCCUUCCCAAGCAAUUAAAUAUUCGUUAUAACUGGGGACUCCUCUCCCUUGUGUCUUCCAUUCUGCUAAGAUCUCCUUGAUUCUUUUGUUGGAUUCUGAGAUCAUGGCAGUAGGAACAACAGCAAGCUCUGCCUUUCGACUUAAGGCGUCAGCAACUACAUUAGCUUUGCCCGGCUUGUAUUGUAGUUGAAAAUCGAACUCGGCAAGAAAGUCUUGCCAUCGAGCUUGCUUUGGUGUGAGUUUCUUCUGUGUCUGAAAGUAGCUGGUUGCCACAUUGUCUGUCAUCACCGUGAAUUUACUGCCUAAUAGGUAGUGUCUCCACGUUCGUAGGCAGUGGACGAUAGCAGUCAUCUCCUUUUCUUGCACGGUGUAUCGUCGCUCCGUAUCAUUGAGUUUGCGACUUUCAUAGGCUAUAGGAUGGCCUUCCUGCAUCAAGACGCCCCCUAUUGCAAAGUCUGAUGCAUCGGUGUGCACCUCAAAUGGUUUGGUGUGAUUAGCCAAGGUCAUCACGGGCUCUUUCGAGACGGCUUCCUUCAAUCUGUCAAAGGCUUGCUGACAUUCCCCACUCCAAUGCCAGGUUUGGCUUUUCUUUAGUAAGUUGGUGAGGGGUGCAGCAACAUUUGAGUACCCCUUUAUGAAUCUACGAUAGUAGUUCACGAACCCUAAAAAUGAUCGCAACUCCGGGAUUUUAGUAGGGGGUUUCCAAUCAAGUAUGGCACGUACCUUUGAUGGAUCCAUCAUUAACCUGCCUUCUCUAAUCCAAUGUCCCAAAAACUCCACUUCUGGUUUAGCAAAUGAGCAUUUUUCCAGCUUUAUAUAUAACUCGUUGUCGCGGAGUACCUGGAAUACUUGUCUGAGAUGUUGAACAUGUUCUUCCAUGGUCCGACUGUAUACUACAAUGUCAUCCAGAUACACAACAACAAACUGAUCUAGGAAUGGCUGGAAGAGUUUGUUCAUGAGAGUGCAGAAAGUGGCCGGGGCAUUAGUUAACCCGAAGGGCAUUACUAAGAAUUCGUAAGCACCGUACCUGGUUACGCAUGUUGUUUUUGGCUCGUCCCCUUCCUUGAUUCUUACUUGGUAGUACCCUAAUCUCAGAUCGAUCUUACUGAACCAUCGGGCGUUACCAAGUUGAUCAAAUAAAUCGGCGAUCAGCGGUAUAGGGUACCUGUUUUCGAUGGUCACCUUAUUGAGGGCUCGAUAAUCGAUACAUAGUCUCAGUGACCCAUCUUUCUUUUUCUGAAAGAGCACAGGUGCACCGUAUGGGGCCUUCGAAGGUUGAAUGUAGCCAGCUUCGAGGAGCUCUUUCAAUUGCCUUUUUAACUCCUCGAGUUCUGGAGGGGCCAUUCUAUAGGGAGCCAUAGCGGGUGGUUUGGCUCCUGGUUCCAGCUCAAUUUCGUGAUCUACUUCCCUUCUCGGAGGAAGUUUCUUCGGUAACUUGGCGGGCAUGACGUCCUUGUAUUCUUCAAGGACUUUAUGUACUUCUUUGGGGACGGUAGUUUGGGUAGGACCAGUCUCUUCUGGUUGUGCCUCCUUUAGAGUAACUGCAUAGCACUCGUGUUUGGUAACCCCUCUCUUGAAUUGCAUGGCUGAGAGCAUGGUCACUGGCCUUCCCUUCUUCAAUGGGAUGGUUGUUAUUUGACCAUCCACUAUAGUGAGGGUACUUCCGGAAGAAUUGAUGAUGGCAAUUACCUUAUUGAAGAACCCUAAGCCAAGCACAAUGUCAAAGUCAUCCAUAGGUAGCACGGUGAAGUCGAGCUUACCUUGCCACUCACCGAUCUUGACUGUUACACCUCUUGCUACACCUUUGAUGGCUUGUGCUUCUGAGUUUACCGCCUUGACAGUCCCCUCUUCGUUUGUGAACUUGAGGCCUAUUCUCUUAGCCUCAUUCACGUUCAUGAAGUUAUGACUCGCACCGGUGUCAAACAUGGCAAUAGCCUCUCUCCCGUUUAUCUUUACAUUUCCAUGGAGUAGGCCUCCUUUAGUUGUUUGAUUGGCCUGUUUCAGCGACUCCUUCCUUCAAAUGUCACGUGGUUAGAAUCUGAAGCUAACCAUACGUGCGGCACUUGGCUAACUACGAUGCCCACAUAGCCAAGUAAGCCUUUCCCGGAAGGGGUAGUGCGCCAAGCACUACGCCAAUGGGUUGCAGCGGAAGUACUUAGGUUGGUUGCAAGACACGAGAGAGGUUGGAAGGAUGAGGGAGUUUGGAUGGACACGUCUUGGAAAUGAUACAUUGCAUUCCAAGAAUAGAUGAAUACAUAUUUGGGUACAAAUAUGCUGUCUUCUUGUCAUGGGGAUACCAUGGGCAAGGAGACUUUGGGUGGCAAGGUGACCUUGCUUGGCUAAGACAUGCCAAGAUACAAGGUUGCAAGGCUUACUUGGCUAUGUGGGCAUCGUAGUUAGCCAAGUGCCGCACGUAUGGUUAGCUUCAGAUUCUAACCACGUGACAUUUGGUAUCAGAGCUCCAAUGUGUUGCAAGGAACCAAUCUGUGGUGUAUCAUCUCCUUGCUUGGACUCGAGCAAUUUGGCAACAAGUGCAUUCAUUGCUUUUCUAUUCGGACAGUCUCUUGUCCGAUGAGGGCCAUUACAAACAAAACAGGGAGAAGGUUUGGACGACUCACCUUGUUGAGUUUUGUGAUACUUGCCAUGUCUUUGGAAUGCCUUCUUUCCCUUUUCCUUUUGCUCGGAGUCUCUAUGCUUGUAGUGAUUGCCUUCACGUUUACUUGGACUAGGUUUUCUCUCCUUUGAUUGGGUUGUAUAAUCGAUAAGCAUCUCAGCUGCGGCUAUAGCAUCGUCCAAUGUUUGGACAUUGCGACGGUCUAGCUCAACCUUGGCCCAAUCUUUCAAUCCAUCUCUAAAUUGGAAUAGGGCUUCCUUCUCGGGCAGAUCACUAAUUUCAAGCAUAAUAGUGGUAAAUUCCUUCACAUAGUCGAGAAUGUUACCUGUGUGUCGUAGCCUUCGAAGUUUGUCUCUUGACUCCAUUUCAGCAUUGUGGGGAACAAAGUGCUUUCUUAGCUCGGCCUUGAAUUGUUCCCACGUCUGGAUGGCAUUUCCAUUUUGGUCAGCGUAUCUUCGACGCCACCAAAGUUGUGCGGCAUCCCUUAGGAAUGUCGGGGCAUUGUUUAUCUUGGCCUCAUCAUCUCGAACACCGACAGCUACAUAGUAUCGGUCAAGGCCAAAGAGGAAGUUUUCCACAACCGUGGCAUUCCUCACCCCAUUGUAUGUGUCAGGUUUCGGCACUUUUAUGUGAGUAGUGCCUUACACAGCAGUGUGUGUACUGGUGGAUGGACCGUCUCCACCAAAGUGCUUGGAACGACAUUCCAUGCAAAGAGUAUCUACCUUUGCAUCUAGGGAAAUAUACUUAGAAUAGAGUUCGCGUAACUCACCUUCAACAAAUGUCUUCAAAGUGGUUACGGUUGAUGACAACUCCUUCAAAUCCUUUUGGAAUGUUUUUCCAAGGUCGGCCACGAGCUCCUUGGUUGCUGCGGAGAUUUCCACAUUCUCCUGAAUAAGCUCUUCGUAGUUAUCACCCAACUCUUCUACCGUGUGCUGGACAUCCUCGAGACUUUGCUCAAGGUUGGCAAGGCGAGUUUCGACAUGCUCCCUUGCAUCCGGACCCUUAGAUUUCGAUCGUCGGGUCGGGGAUCGUCGGUCCUUCCUACCUCGUGUGAUAGGUCCUUCAAGAACCUGCUCAGCUUGGGCUGAAAUGUGGCCUUCUUCGCUGGACAUCUUGUUCACAAGUCAACUGGGAUUAAGUGGGUGUAGAAACUGUGUUCCGUUACUUUGACAACGUUUCAAGAACUAGAGUCUUGAAUCUUGGUCUCUCGAUAUCGUGCACUUGAUAGCAACGAUCAAGAGUAUGUCCCUUUGAACGAACACGCUCUGAUACCACCUGUCACGUGGUUAUUUUAAUCACAAAACCAACGUGCGGCACAAAGGUGUUGGGGUUGCACCAAUGUAAGCCUAAGAGUAAUUGGACUUGUUGGAACAAACUAAGGAAGAAGGAAAUUCGUAGGUAAGAAGUAGGCAAAGAGUUGUAGACAAGGUGUUUGAUAAAAUGCUUAAGAGAGCUUUGUUGAUGAAUUCCCAAGGAUUUUGUGUUGUUUGUACAAAUGGACCCCUUUGGGGUAUUUAUAGAAGUAUACAACCUAUUUACAAGCCCUAAACCGCCUUACAAGGUCGGCAAAAGCAAUCUGGAACAUUCCCGAGCGCUCAUGACACUGUCCAGAAGCUUCUGGAAGCGUCUGGGGCCGUCUGGCGCGCGCGCGGGCCUUCUAGAGGCUUC